AUGACCGGUAUAGGGAUUACUAAGGGGACUAAAGAAACAAGAACAACAACGACUAAUUCAUCCGCCAAUAUAUUCCCGAAAAGUCAAAAGCUAAGCGAUAAUGGUUUUGUGAAAUCUUCUAGGAAUUGUCACAUUUGCUCAAAUCUUGCUAGUUUGGGAAAACCCUAG
rnacentral:rRNA from 1 species